UCCAGGGGUAGUUUUAUGACCCUGGUGGUAGUUUGACCCUUCCUCUGUACCAUGAACCUGAAGAAACACCUAUUUGACAAGGCUUUCCUAGGAGUUGUGAGCAUUUCCAGGGGUAGUUUUAUGACCCUGGUGGUAGUUUGACCCUUCCUCUGUACCAUGAACCUGAAGAAACACCUAUUUGACAAGGCUUUCCUAGGAGUUGUGAGCAUUUCCAGGGGUAGUUUUAUGACCCUGGUGGUAGUUUGACCCUUCCUCUGUACCAUGAACCUGAAGAAACACCUAUUUGACAAGGCUUUCCUAGGAGUUAUGGGCAUUUCCAGGGGUAGUUUUAUGACCCUGGUGGUAGUUUGACCCUUCCUCUGUACCAUGAACCUGAAGAAACACCUAUUUGACAAGGCUUUCCUAGGAGUUGUGGGCAUUUCCAGGGGUAGUUUUAUGACCCUGGUGGUAGUUUGACCCUUCUUCUGUACCAUGAACCUGAAGAAACACCUAUUUGACAAGGCUUUCGUAGGAGUUGUGGGCAUUUCCAGGGGUAGUUUUAUGACCCUGGUGGUAGUUUGACCCUUCCUCUGUACCAUGAACCUGAAGAAACACCUAUUUGACAAGGCUUUCCUAGGAGAUGUGAGCAUUUCCAGGGGUAGUUUUAUGACCCUGGUGGUAGUGUGACCCUUCCUCUGUACCAUGAACCUGAAGAAACACCUAUUUGACAAGGCUUUCCUAGGAGAUGUAAGCAUUUCCAGGGGUAGUUUUAUGACCCUGGUGGUAGUUUGACCCUUCCU